rnacentral:rRNA from 1 species
AACGAACGCUGGCGGCAGGCCUAACACAUGCAAGUCGAGCGGACCCUCCGGGGUUAGCGGCGGAUGGGUGUGUAACGCGUGGGAAUAUGCCCUUCUCUACGGAAUAGCUCUGGGACACUGGGGGUUAUACCGUACACGCCCUUUGGCGGAAAGAUUUAUCGGGGAAGGAUUAGCCCGCGUUGGAUUAGGUAGUUGGUAGGGUAAUGGCCUACCAAGCCGAGGAUUCAUAGCUGGUUUGAGAGGAUGAUCAGCGACACUUGGACUGGGACGCGGCCCGGACUCCUACGGGAGGCAGCAGUGGGGGAUGUUGCACAGUGGCGGCAGCCAUGAACUAGCCCUGACGGGAAAAUGAUGUAAGCAUUGAGGUAGUAAUGCGCAAGUAACUAGGAAGGUAUUGACGGUACCUGAAGAGAAAGCCCCGGCUAACUACGUG